CUCCCUCGUUAUAGAAACCAGGAGAGGAAAAAAGGAAGCAAAGAAAUGUUACUAUGUGGUGAAGAAUUAACCUUCUUCAAAAUAAGCCCGCCUUUUGUCCUUGGCUUCUGGAACGUAAUCUCUACUGUCUUUCUUAGCCCGAGGGAUGGGGGUCACAGUGGAUUGUCAGUGCAAUUUAAGGUGGGGACUGGCCACUCCCAUGUAGCCAUAGGGUUGGAGCUGAAAGACCAACAAUGUGACUUUGGGUGGAGGCUUUGGGUCACCCAGUAUCGGUGGCCUGGAGACUAAGAUCAACCAUGUGGCCAGUCAAUCAUUUAUGCCCACGAAAUGGAGCUCCAACAAAAACUGAACCCUGAGGCUUAGGUGAGCUCUCUUGGUUGGUGAUUCUCUCUUGGUUGCUGUAUUGUCACACAUGGAUGCCACCGUGUAUCCUUACUUUGUGGGGAAAAGACAACAGGAGCUCUGCAUUUGGAACCCUUCUGGACUCUGCCCUAUGUGUCUCUUUUUGGCUAAGCUUAACCUGUAACCUUUCCUUAUAAUAAACCAUAAAUGUGACUAUAACAGCUUUUGGUGAGUCCCAUGUUUCUAGGGAAUACCAAAUCAAAGAGUGAUUUUGGGAACCCUCUAAAAUUGCAGUUGUCCUGCAUUUAUGGACAGAACCAAUAUACAUCUUACUUGUAUUGAUUAAUGUCCUAUGUCUCCUUGAAAUGUAUAAAACCAAGCUAUAACCCAGCCACUUUGAGCACAUGUUCUCAGGAUCUCCUGAGGGCUGUGUCAUGGGCCAUUGGUCACUUAUAUGUGGCUCAGAAUAAAUCUCUUCAACUAUUUUAUGAAGUUUCACUCUUUUCAUCAAC
rnacentral:lncRNA from 1 species